AACGAACGCUGGCGGCAUGCCUAACACAUGCAAGUCGAACGAGACCUUCGGGUCUAGUGGCGCACGGGUGCGUAACGCGUGGGAACCUGCCCUUAGGUUCGGAAUAACUCCCCGAAAGGGGUGCUAAUACCGGAUAAUGUCUUCGGACCAAAGAUUUAUCGCCUUUGGAUGGGCCCGCGUUGGAUUAGCUAGUUGGUAGGGUAAAAGCCUCCCAAGGCGACGAUCCAUAGCUGGUCUGAGAGGAUGAUCAGCCACACUGGGACUGAGACACGGCCCAGACUCCUACGGGAGGCAGCAGUGGGGAAUAUUGGACAGUGGGCGAAAGCCUGAUCCAGCAAUGCCGCGUGAGUGAUGAAGGCCUUAGGGUUGUAAAGCUCUUUUAACCGGGAUGAUAAUGACAGUACCGGGAGAAUAAGCUCCGGCUAACUCCGUG
rnacentral:rRNA from 1 species